GAGAAGAACGUAGCAAAAUGCGAUAAGUAAUGUGAAUUGCAGAAUUCAGUGAAUCAUCGAAUCUUUGAACGCACAUUGCGCCCGCCAGUAUUCUGGCGGGCAUGCCUGUUCGAGCGUCAUUUCAACCCUCAAGCACAGCUUGGUGUUGGGACUCGCGUUAAUUCGCGUUCCCCAAAUUGAUUGGCGGUCACGUCGAGCUUCCAUAGCGUAGUAGUAAAACCCUCGUUACUGGUAAUCGUCGCGGCCACGCCGUUAAACCCCAACUUCUGAAUGUUGACCUCGGAUCAGGUAGGAAUACCCGCUGAACUUAAGCAUAUCAAUAAGCGGAGGA
rnacentral:misc_RNA from 1 species